rnacentral:lncRNA from 1 species
UUCUGCAUUUCAAUGGGGGGUACCAUUACAUCUUUCCUAUCACCAUUAACCUAUUACAAGACAGCACAUCCAUUACAAUCAAUAUAUUACCAUUACAUCAUGCAAAUCCAUGUCAAAAUUACAAUUGCAGUGACAAUCCAUGACAAUACACAACACAUUCUAAGUUUUGAGUUUGCCUCCUUAAGUCUAUCAACUUCUAUUUCCUUUAUCAGUGUUUCCUUCUUCAAAAUUUUCAACUUCUACUUCAGUUUUGCAUUUUUAUCCAUCACUAAGCUCACCUCUUCAACUGACUCAUCACUUGCUCAUCACACUCGUUGCUUCAUCAAACAUUGGAAAGCACUUCAACCCAUUCAAAAUAUCCACAAUAUCUCCCAGAUUCCUAUCAAAUACCAAACAUUAUUUAACAGAGAGGGGGGAAACAGAGCCACAUACCAAACAUUAUUUAACACAGAGAGGGAUGAAAUGCAGUUUACAAAUUGGACAGAGGAAAUUAACCCCAUAAUUGUGGCAGCCAUAAAAUCUUUUUCCUUUUGACCUAUCUUUCUUCGAAACACAGAUUCGCGCUAGUACAUCACAAAAACACAUGUGCAUGUUUGCAGCAGUGGUCGACAAUGAUCUAGAUCGUGAUGAAGCCAUAUUAGAUGCACGAUAACUUCGCACUAACCUCGAUACCAGUUAUCAGGUAAAAGCCCUAAUUUUCGUGCACUUGUUGUCUGCAAUUUUUCUGAGAAAUUUAUACCCUAGUUCUACAGUUCUUCACUACAAUUACUGGUAUAACAUACAAUCAAGACCUUUACAUGUAUUCUCUCCUUCAAUCGACCCACUCGAUUUCGCCUGACAUUAAGACUAACUUCAUCGCUUUCUUCUCAGAACUCGAUUUCUUCUAUGCCUUUCGACAGCAACUGUUUAGUUGUUGCUUAUAUCUUCCUCCCGCCCAACUCCACGCAUGAUAAACUGAUUUGUCUUACUCAUUACAUUAGCAAUUACACGUGUUUUUUUUUUAAAGCCACGUAGGAAAACUUGACUGAUUUCUUAACGUCUGUGACGAAAAUUGGACGGAAUGACUUGAUUUUAAAUUUUUAAAAAGUACAGUGGACCAAUUGAUUUUUUUUAAAGUGCAGUGGCUAAUUGCUUAAAACACGACGACCACAGUGGGGGUAAAGGUGCUUUUUCCCAAUAAAUUUCACUUAUUAUAAAAGUAAAACUUGAAAAAUAUAGCAUUUUCCUAAUAAUAAACUAAAACUUAAAAGAAACAGUUAAUGGGCUAUUUACCCACUUUCAAAUCAGCCCGCCCCCCACAAAGAUAUACUAAAUAAGUUGAAAAGACAAUAAAAUUGCCACUUAAUCUAAACAGAGAAUAUCAAGGAGAGAAAUAAACCUGUGGAUGUGUGAGAAAGGGUCGGAUGGCUGGGAAGGAGAGAAAAAGAGAAACUCAGGGUUGCUGCGAGUCGCUCCUAUAGGAUUGCGAUGGAGUUGCGAUGGAGCUACAAUGGGGCUGUGAUGGGUCUAUGAUGAGUCGCAAAGUGUCGAGAAGAAGAGUCGAAGUACACGUGACGAGAAGAAGAGUUGUAGUACUCAAUAGUCAAUUUAGACAAAUAAGUCUCAAUUUUUUGUUUUAGGGUUUUAUCCUUUGUUUUUAAUCGAUGGGUCACCCAUGGGUCAUUAUUGGUAUCGGGUAAAAUCAUGUUUUAAAGUAUUGGGGCAAAGUUGCCAAGGCGUGCGUCGUGGUAGCUCGAUGUCUCAAGGCGUCUCCUAGGCCACGACAUAACAUAAGACGCCAAGCUACCAUGACGCACGCCUUGAUAACUCUACCUCAAGUAGACGCACGCAAUACCAUUCCUUCCAUUGCUGAGAUGCCUAGGUGACGCCAUGGCGACACCAUGACGACUAUGCUCCUAGCUUAACAAUACUUAUCGCUUGAAAUCGAUAUUGAAUCAAAAAAUGACCUUCUGAAACAUGUCACUACCUCAACUUUAAACCAUGGUGGGAACAAAAGAUACAUAUCCUAUGAUGUUUCACAAGACUUUCCCUCCCACCACUUUUUGUGUUAAUAAGAGACUCUAAACCCUAGAAUUUAAGCGCAAAGCUUACAUCCUAGUUCUACAUAUCUAUCAAUUAAUAACAAAAUUCGUUCAACAAAGGUUGUCCUACAUCACCAACGGUUACAGCUAAAAGUGGGCUUCACAUCCAAAGUGCUUAACUUCAUAUUUUUUCAAGUCUCCCUUCCUAGUACCAACUACCAACCUUGCUACUACAAUGCUGGUUCAAAUCUUCCCCAUACUUUUACAUCCUCAGCCUUGAUAAGUAUUCUCAAAGCUUUUCUUGGUUUCACAGUCUCACCCUUAUUUGGUUGUGUUAACCAUUUGGCUCGAAGUGCCAUAGAAAGGUAUGGCAUGUGAAUAAAAGAGAUAUUCUAAAUGGCGAGCUUGUUGAAUAUUUACAUUAUUUCACUAAUAAAGAGUAACCUAAUUGCUCUACCUCACAUAGAAGACAAACAUCAACAUGCUUUAAUUUUUCAAGAAACACAAAUAUUCAAGCUGAUGGAGCCAAAAAAAGAAAAAAAAAACAAUUUUCAAACGGCUCCCAACACCAACAAUUUCUCAAGAAAUUCCGAACAACCCAAUUCUUCCUCAAUUAAUGCCUACGAAAUUCAAAUUGGUCUGGUAAAUGUAUUCUAUAUUAUAGCCGCACUGUUACGAUUGGAACGUCUAGAAAUUGUGGUGUAACAUAACAACAUAGAAUCAAUUUUCAUGUACUGUCUUGCAUUACUGAUAUUGUAUCACUACAUUAAUGAAUUAUCUGUAUCGAUAACACUACCCUAUUUUAAUAUGAUGUGUCAUGAAUCAUGAUCCUAAAACUGCUGAUGUAUGGUUACACUCCUUAGAGCAAAUAUUUACUCAACGUAUAAACUACCCAACAAAAAAAAUAGCAAGUUACAUUGAAAAUCAUUCAAUGCUUCGUCCCAAGCAGCAAUGACACUAUCCAGAAAAUAAGAAAAAAAUAAAGUAGAAAUUUAAAACCAAAAAUAGAAGGGAAAAGUGAAUUUUGAAUCAGAUGAACCAUAUGACAGACGGAAACUACAUAGGUCCAUCAAAUACAAAAUGAUUCAAGAUCAAAAAAUAAUAAAAUUUCAAAUUAGUUCAUCUAAGAAGUGAAAACCCUAAAAUAAACCAACAUCAACAAAAAAAAAAUUGCAUAGAGGCAAACAGGAAGAAUAAGAUACAUUGAGAAUUUGAGAUUCAACGGAGAAAAUGUAGAGAGAGAAUGGGGAUAUACCUGAAGGAGGGGAAAGCUCAAAGACCGAUUUGGGGGAGCAUGAAAGCAAUUAAGAAGAACCCCUACUUUACUUGACCAGAUAAUAGAAAGCCAACGAAGGCGCAAAU